GGGUCGGUGGCGUAGUUGGUUAUCGCAUCUGUCUAACAAUAAACAUUUUGUGGGUCACAGAAGGUCCUCAGUUCGAACCUGGGCCGAUUCA